CGAGCCUGGUCUCCUCAGGACUCGCUGGGGCUUUGGCUUCUGGAACACAUGGGGCUGAAUCCAUGCUGACAACGCGGGGGCUUCAGGACAACACAGGGUCGAGUCCACGCUAACGGGAGCCAGGUCUCCUCAGGAGUUGCUGAGGCUUCGGCUUUGGGACGUUGUGGAGUCCAGUUCACGCUGACGGGAGCCCCGUCUCCUCAGGACCGGCCGGGAGGUGGCGCGGCUGACGGAAAAGUGUCUACUGCACCCCAGGUAAUCCACAGGACCCAAGACAUGGUAGCUACUAAUAUACUCUUCCCACGGUGCCUCUUAAUACCAUGCGGACUCCUACAAGGGAAAUAAGUAUCACAACUUUGGUUGAACUUGGUCUGGUCUCAGAUUUACCUGAUGGUCACCACUCGUAGUUCCUGCAGAGCCCAGAGAUUUCUCCUUGAAGGAAAGGUUCUGGAAAAAUCGGAGGGAUAAAUAAAGAAUGCAGCUGAUUCCCACCUUGUGCUGAUGCCCAAGAGGGUGAUGAGAGUAGGUGUUUUCUCAUUAGAAUUUUU